rnacentral:rRNA from 1 species
GUGAGGAAUAUUGCGCAAUGGAGGCAACUCUGACGCAGCCAUGCCGCGUGCAGGAAGAAGGCGCUACGCGUUGUAAACUGCUUUUAACCGGGAAGAAACCCCAGGACGUGUCCUGGGUUGACGGUACCGGAGGAAUAAGCACCGGCUAACUUCGUGCCAGCAGCCGCGGUAAUACGAAGGGUGCAAGCGUUAUGCGGAUUCAUUGGGUUUAAAGGGUGCGUAGGCGGAGCGUUAAGUCAGUGGUGAAAUCCUGCAGCUUAACUGUAGACUUGCCAUUGAUACUGGCGCUCUUGAGUGCGCUUGAAGUGGGCGGAAUGUGCCGUGUAGCGGUGAAAUGCUUAGAUAUGGCACAGAACACCAAUUGCGAAGGCAGCUCACUAAGGCGAUACUGACGCUGAGGCACGAAAGCGUGGGGAUCGAACAGGAUUAGAAACCCUGGUAGUCC